GACGAACGCUGGCGGCGUGCCUAACACAUGCAAGUCGAGCGGGGUUGAAGCGAGGGGUAACUCGAGUUUCUACCUAGCGGCGGACGGGUGAGUAACGCGUGGGCAACCUGCCUCAAGGACUGGGAUAACAGCUCGAAAGGGCUGCUAAUACCGGAUAAGCCUAUGGCCUCGCAUGGGGCCAUGAGCAAAGGGGAAACCCGCCUUGAGAUGGGCCCGCGUCCCAUCAGCUAGUUGGUGAGGUGAAGGCUCACCAAGGCGACGACGGGUAGCCGGCCUGAGAGGGUGACCGGCCACACUGGGACUGAGACACGGCCCAGACUCCUACGGGGGCAGCAGUGGGGAAUCUUGCACAAUGGGCGAAAGCCUGAUGCAGCGACGCCGCGUGAGCGAAGAAGGCCUUCGGUUGUAAAGCUCUGUCUGGAGGGACGAAGGAAGUGACGGUACCUCCGGAGGAAGCCACGGCUAACUACGUG
rnacentral:rRNA from 1 species